rnacentral:lncRNA from 1 species
AAUCCUUGAGUCUUAGGUACAAUUUAAGGUAGUUUUCAAUUUUUUUCUUUAAUUAGUUUAAAUCAUAUUGAGUCAAGUUAAUUCAAGUAAUUUUAGUUCAUUUGUAUGUUAAAAAUUUUUAUUUUUAUCUAUGACUAAUUUUGUUCAUAUGUCAUGAAGGUCCUCAAAAGAAAAGGGGUCAAGUGGAGGAAAAAAAUUGCAACUAUGGCUAAGGGCAUCUCCUCAACAUGUUGUGGUAUUUUGAGCAUCACUCGUGCUAUAGAAGUCAAAUCAACAUGAUUCUUGACCAAUGAAAAGAUAAGAUGCAAAGUUACAACUUUAUUGUUUACUAUUUUUCCCAGAUCAACCUUUAAAUGUGAGAAAAUCAUGUUACAAGAGAAAGGCUUGAAUAAGGUCAACACUAGAGUGCAGGGCGCCACAGAACUAGCCAACCAUGGAGAUGGCAUCAAGAGGCCCCUACUCCCUAUACAAUGUGCAUCAAGUAGGGCACCACAGCACCAAUGACCUAGCACCUUGACACCAGCACAUGGACUUUAAAUUUUGUAAUUUUUUAUUUUUUUAUAUUAGGCUGUUCAAUAGGGUAUAAAUAGUAUUUUUCUUUUAAAGGCUAAAAAGGUACAGAACAACUUUUUGGAGAAACGGAUACCUUUUACAAAAGAGGAAAGGUGAAGAAAUCAAGGAAGCUUGAGUUUCAAAAGCAGCUAAAACUUAUUUCUCUCACUAAAUUUUUCUUUCUCUCUCUUUGAUUGUAAAAAUGAUUUAUUUUCUUAAGCUGUUGAUGUUUGCUAUAAAA